CUUUCUAUUGUACAACAUUAAUGUACAACAGGUACUCUCUAUUGUACUAAAGGUACUCUCUAUUGUACAACAUUAAUGUACAACAGGUACUCUCUAUUGUACUAAAGGUACUCUCUAUUGUACAACAUUAAUGUACAACAGGUACUCUCUAUUGUACUAAAGGUACUCUCUAUUGUACAACAUUAAUGUACAACAGGUACUCUCUAUUGUACUAAAG